rnacentral:lncRNA from 1 species
ACCUCUGUCUCCCAGGCUCAAAUGAUUCUCCUGCCUCAGCCUCCUGAGUAGCUGGGAUUACAGGCGCCCAUGGACUACCAGCUUUUUAAGUAGACUUUUUAGCCAAAGGCCAAGGGAAACUACCCUCUUCCUACUGGGGUUCAAAUUGAUUAAAAUGGUUUGCUUUGACUUUUGUUGAAGUCUCUUUAUUUUCUUUUUAAGAUUAUGUUAAAUUAUAAUCCACAUUGGCUUUCUUUUUACAGGUAAACUUUUUCUCUUCUAGAUUUCUAGACGGCCUUCCCCCACUUCGCUUCUCUCUCUGCCAUUUUCCUCCCCUCUCCCGCCUCCCCAAGUUAGAAGAGGCUGACAAAAAGAGGCUCAUCAAAGUUAAAUGUUGCCAACAUAAAUUGGUCCCUCUUCUCUUCCUUGAUGUGACUGGUCUCUCAACCUAUUGAUGGCAUCCAGUUCCAACUUUCCUCUUCUCAUUUGGGACAUUGGGAGGAGAGUAGUCUCUAUUUUUAAUAACAAAGUAGUAAGUAUGUAAUGCCUCUCUUGACUGUGCAAAAGACCAAAACUGGAGAACAUUUUAUGCUUUGAUUUUCUUUCUCUUUGUUAAAACUUAGAUAAAUUAUCUCUUGGGAAUGGAAUGUUCCAGGCCUUUCUGUUUCAUCCUCUCUUAGUAACAGUGUAUCGUUGUGGGUUUACAGGUGAAGAAAAUAUCAUCAAAUGACAAAUGGCCAUAAAGAUCUCUCACCCAGAUUAUCUAAUGGUUUUACUUAUGCACAGAGACUGUAGGCUCUGACUUUUUAGAGUUUUAUAAUCCUUUUAAUAACACUUUUUUUCAUUUAUAGAGAACUACAGUCAGGCAGGCAGAGUAUUUUCUGAUUUGGAUGAGUUCAUAAGACAUGUACAUUAUGGGAAUUAUAUGAUUGCUCCACCUGCAUCACAUCUGGACCACCUCUGGACUGAGCUGUAGGGAUGCAGGGAAACCCUGCUAAGUGUCAAGCUGCACCCUGUCCUGCUGGUGCCCAUGCCUAGACCCUCAUUCCAUUGUUCACAGAAUUCUAUGCCUUGGGAUUUUGUCUCUACUUGUCCAGAACUCCUAAUUCCUUCACUCUUCCACAUUCUAGGUCCUCCUCUAUCAAUUUAAGUACCAGAUCCCUGUCAGCUGCCUUCCCCAGACAUUAAGUCAGAAGCUCAGUUUGAUGGCAGGGUGUGUGUUUCCAGGGAACAUGCUCUUUUGCCUGCAGCCACAUAAGACAUACCUUUGCUCCAUCUUUACCUUCUGCCACGAUUAUGAGGCCUCCCCAGCCACAUGAAACGGGGGAAGUAUGUAAUGAUGUUUGUGACAAAAAAUAAAUGUGAUCAACUGGUAAAAACAGCCUGAUGUUGUGUCUUCAGUGAAUGUUCCCACUAGCCAGGCUGAGCUUAAGGUGUAUGGUCAACUAAACAAUCCAAAAACCAUGUAGCUCCACAAUAAUCAGAAAUUCUGGAUCCAGUAAAACAAGUCUCCUUUAAGACAUGGCUGAAUGCUGGAAGAAAGUAAAGAAAGUUCCUGGAGUCAAAGAUGAAGUGAGAAGGAAAAAUCAGAGCAGUGAAUGCAGUCUCACCCUGUUGCCCAGGCUGGAAUGCAGUGG